AGAUGCCAUCCAGGCGCACGGCGGGUAUAGUGGUUCCGCAACCUUGGGAUGUUCGGCUGAGCGCCUGCCUAACAUGGGAGCGCCUGCCUAACCCUCCUGACUGGAGGGUCAGCGGCGGGGAGUCCUGGCCUUCAAUCGGCCAUCGCCACGGCAGAAACUGGGGCCCGGGCUGCGUCCAGGCCCUUCCCCGUCCGUCCACAGGUCUCAUGGGCGCCCGGACUGGGGCUGAUGUAGUUUCCCGACCUCUGACACAUAGGAUCUGGAGAUUAAAGGUAUAAAAACGGGGACUUUUCAGCCCACUCAAGUAAAACACCCUUUUAUUUUUCGGCAGGUGUUUUGUUGCAGAAUGCCCUGAGGGGAGGGAGUGACUGCUGGGUUUCGGUUUAUAAAAUAAAAUAAACUCCUGAUUUAGAUUAUGUUUAAUAUGGCUCCCCAACCUUUAAAAAUCCCACUUUUUGCCAGUUGUAUUAUUUAGUGGGAUGUUGAAGGGGGGGGCCUGCGCCUCCACACCUGUGGGCGUUUCUCCUCAGGUGGGAUGAAAGACUGAGAAAAGAAAAAGACACAGAGACAAAGUAUACAGAAAGAAAAGUGGGCCCAGGGGACCAGCGCUCAGCAUAUGGAGGACCUGCGCCAGCACUGGUCUCUGAGUUCCCUCAGUAUUUAUUGAUCAUUAUUUUUACCAUCUCAGAGAGGGGGAUGUGGCAGGACAGUAGGGUAAUAGUGGGGAGAGGGUCAGCAGGAAAACGUGAACAAAGGUCUCUGCAUCAUAGACAAGGUAAAUAAUUAAGUGCUGUGCUUUAGAUAUGCAUACACAUAAACAUCUCAAUGCCUUACAGAGCAGU
rnacentral:lncRNA from 1 species